rnacentral:precursor_RNA from 1 species
AUCAAUAAACUAUCAGAGUAAUUCAAUAAACUAUCAGAAUCUUAGUUAUUAAUUAUAUAGUUCUUAUCUAUUCAAAUAUCUAUUCAAAGUCGAUAGGAAUUGAAUAUAGAAAAUAAUAACAUUUCAAAUCAAUAAUCAAUAUUGAAUAUUCUAAUUAUAGAACACAACGAUUAAUAGAGCGAUAUCGAUAUAUAAUUUCGAUUUUUUUAUCACUAAUAUAAUUCGAAUAUUAUUAAAUUGGAUAUAUCUUUUAUUAUUUUUAAUUUUUUUUUUAAUAUUAUUUAUAUUAAAUAUUACUAUUUUUUGCUAUUAUUAUAUUUAUUCUUUUUAUAUUAAAAUAUUAUUUUUGAGUUUUAGAUAAUUAAAGUUUUCCUUUUUGAAUUCAAAUGACUUUUGAACUUAUUUUUAUUGUAUUAUUUUAUUUGAUUGUAGAUCAUCUAUUUUAUUUCCAAUUACUAAUGGUUAGUUAGAACCAAUGAGACAUGACCCACUUUCAGUCAUAAAGAGAUAAGUAGGAAAGUAGGAAAUUAAGAUGACAAAAAGAGAAUCGACCCUUCAAGUAUUCAAAAUGACAUCGAAAAUGUGACAGGCGGAUAUAUCUACCUAGGAUAUAUAUCCAUCUAUGUUGAAUUCCAGAUACAGAAAUGGUACAAUCAUAAUCGAUUUGAACCAAAUCCAAAUAAGGUUCUCCUAUAAAUAAAAAAAAAAUGAAGAAGGUAGGUAAGAGAUAAAAGAAAACACUUUUUCGAGAUAGGAAUCCGGUAUCUAAUGAAUUCAACGAUUCCAGUAUAAAUGAAAGAAAAAAGAAACGACAUCACAAUUCAUUCGAUCGACUUAAUUAGAUUGGGCCUUGGUAUGGAAACCCGCCGAGUGAGAACUUUCAAAUUCAGAGAAACCCCGGAAUUAAUAAAAAGGGCAAUCCUGAGCCAAAUCCUCUUUUCUGAAAACAAAGGUUCAGAAAAUAAAAAAGGGGAUAGGUGCAGAGACUCAAUGGAAGCUGUUCUAACAAAUGGAGUUGGCUGCGGUAGUGGAGAAGUCUUUCCAUCAAAAAUUAAGUAAGUAUUUCAGUACGUAUAUAAGUAUUAAAAAUCGGGUGAAGUGAAGGAGAAACGUAUAUACAUACGUAGUGAAUAAUAUAUUCCAUUAUUAAAAUUCCAUUAUUAAAUGAGUAAUGAUAGCCCGAAUCAAUCUAUUGUUUUUUAUAAAAAAACUUUUAUAAAAAAACAAAGAAUUGGUGUGAAUAGAUUCUACGUUGAAGAAAGAAUCGAAUAUUCAUUGAUCAAAUGAUUCACUCCAUAGUCUGAUAAAUCUUUUCAAGAACUUAUUAAUCGGACGAGAAUAAAGAUAGAGUCCCAUUCUACAUGUCAAUGACGGCAGCAAUGAAAUUUAUAGUUAAGAGGAAAAUCCGUCGACUUUUAAAAUCGUGAGGGUUCAAGCCCCUCUAUCCCCAACUAAACUAUUUGACUCUCCAACUAUCUAUUAUCUAUUUCUUUUCUCUUUUGGUUAUCGCCCUUUCCAUUCACUCUAUUCUCUUAGAAUUGAUCGGUGCGGAAAUGUCCUUUUCCUUUUUCCUUUUCUUAUCACAUCACAAUCACAUCUAGAUGAUAUACAUACAAAUGAGAAAGAAAUACCCAUUUGAAUGAUUUACAAUUUAUAUAAUUAUAUAAUUACUAAUACGGAAACUCCCAAAGCCCUCUUUGUUAAGAUCCAAGCCAAGCAAUUUCAGUACCUAAAUCAGUACCUAAAUAUAAAUAAAACUUGGACUUGGCAAUUCCCUUUCCUUCUUUUAAUUGACACAGCCCCCAUUUUCGAGUAAAAUGAGGAUGUUACAGUUACAUUGGGACUGGUCGGGAUAGCUCAGCUGGUAGAGCAGAGGACUGAAAAUC